GGAAUCUUCCACAAUGGACGAAAGUCUGAUGGAGCAACGCCGCGUGAGCGAAGAAGGUUUUAGGAUCGUAAAACUCUGUUGUUGGAGAAGAACAGGGACUAGAGUAACUGUUAGUCCUUUGACGGUACCAUACCAGAAAGGGACGGCUAAAUACGUGCCAGCAGCCGCGGUAAUACGUAUGUCCCGAGCGUUAUCCGGAUUUAUUGGGCGUAAAGCGAGCGCAGACGGUUGAUUAAGUCUGAUGUGAAAGCCCGGAGCUCAACUCCGGAAUGGCAUUGGAAACUGGUUAACUUGAGUGCAGUAGAGGUAAGUGGAACUCCAUGUGUAGCGGUGGAAUGCGUAGAUAUAUGGAAGAACACCAGUGGCGAAGGCGGCUUACUGGACUGUAACUGACGUUGAGGCUCGAAAGUGUGGGUAGCAAACA
rnacentral:rRNA from 1 species